GAUGAAGAACGUAGCGAAAUGCGAUAAGUAGUGUGAAUUGCAGAAUUCCGUGAAUCAUCGAAUCUUUGAACGCACAUUGCGCCUUCUGGUAUUCCGGAAGGCAUGCCUGUUCGAGAGUCAUUAACAACCGUUUCGAUCCCUUUCUUUCAGAAAUUACAAAGAGGAAAAGGGUUUGGUUAUGGUGGAGGAGGGAAAGGGAGCGUUUAGCCUGUAAAAAAAGAGGCUGUGUUCCGCCUCCCCCCCAAAAUUGUACAGGCGGUCGUGUGCGCCCACGCAUCGAGGUGUUGUAAAAGCUGCCACGGCACUUUUCACCUGUGCAGUGCGAGAUUGGCCAGCCGGUUUAAAAACCCCUCCAAACAAUCAAAGGUUGACCUCGGAUCAGGUAGGGAUACCCGCUGAACUUAAGCAUAUCAAUAGGCGGAGGA
rnacentral:misc_RNA from 1 species